rnacentral:rRNA from 1 species
AACGAACGCUGGCGGCAUGCCUAACACAUGCAAGUCGAACGAGACCUUCGGGCCUAGUGGCGCACGGGGGCGUAACGCGUGGGAACCUGCCCUUAGGUUCGGAAUAACUCCCCGAAAGGGGUGCUAAUACCGGAUAAUGUCUUCCGACCAAAGAUUUAUCGCCUUUGGAUGGGGCCGCGUUGGAUUAGCUAGUUGGUAGGGUAAAAGCCUACCAAGGCGACGAUCCAUAGCUGGUCUGAGAGGAUGCUCAGCCACACUGGGACUGAGACACGGCCCAGACGCCUACGCGAGGCAGCAGUGGGGAAUAUUGGACAAUGGGCGCAAGUCUGAUCCAGCCAUGCCGCGUGAGUGAUGAAGGCCUUAGGGUUGUAAAGCUCUUUUACCCGGGAUGAUAAUGACAGUACCGGGAGAAUAAGCACCGGCUAACUCCGUG